GCCAGGUCAAGGGAAGCCACUGCUGGGAGCCAGGACCUGGGCGAGGUCAGGAAACUCACAGGAGAGGUGAGCAAGGCCAAGUAUGGCGCCGUCUCCUCUAGGUCUGAAGAAUGCAAGUAAAGGAGGCUGGUGGCAAGUUCUUCGCUGGGAGAGACAGCCAGAGUUGUCAGCUGCCACUUACUACUUCAGCAUGGCCCUAUUGUGAAGCGAGGCCCCGGGGAGGACCCUGUGCUGCCAUCUUGAACAUGCAGCCAAGCAGGGCCUUCAGAUGCCCACAGUCUCAGCUGCCCUCUGACCGCACCUGCAGGGGGACCCCCAGGAAGAACCCACCAGCUGAGGCCCACCAACCCACACAACCAUGGGAGGUGAAAAUAAAUUAUUGUUUUAAGCCACUA